UACGGGGGGAGCAAGCGUUGUUCGGAUUUACUGGGCGUAAAGGGCGCGUAGGCGGUCAGCACAAGUCAGUUGCGAAAUCUCCGAGCUUAACUCGGAAAGGUCAACUGAAACUGUGCGACUAGAGUGCGGAAGGGGCAACUGGAAUUCUUGGUGUAGCGGUGAAAUGCGUAGAUAUCAGGAGGAACACCAAUUGCGAAGGCAGCUCGCUGGGACGUUACUGACGCUGAGACGCGAAAGCGUGGGGAGCAAACAGG
rnacentral:rRNA from 1 species